UACAGAGGUCCCAAGCGUUGUUCGGAUUCACUGGGCGUAAAGGGUGCGUAGGUGGUGAGGUAAGUCGGAUGUGAAAGCUCGGAGCUCAACUCCGAAAUGGCAUUGGAAACUACCUUGCUCGAGGGUUGGAGGGGGGACUGGAAUGCUUGGUGUAGCAGUGAAAUGCGUAGAUAUCGUAAGGAAGACCAGUGGCGAAGGCGAAUCUCUGGACAGUUACUGACACUGAGGCACGAAGGCCAGGGGAGCAAACAGG
rnacentral:rRNA from 1 species